AAGAAGCGAAGCGGUGACGUGGAGCAAACCUCAGAAAGCCAAUCUCAGUUCGGAUUGUAGGCUGCAACUCGCCUACAUGAAGUUGGAAUCGCUAGUAAUCGCGAAUCAGAAUGUCGCGGUGAAUACGCUCCCGGGUCUUGUACACACCGCCCGUCACACCACGAGAGUUUACAACACCCGAAGUCAGUGGCCUAACCGCAAGGAGGGAGCUGCCUAAGGUGGGGUAGAUGAUUGGGGUGAAGUCGUAACAAGGUAGC
rnacentral:rRNA from 1 species